GUGGGGAAUAUUCCGCAAUGGACGAAAGUCUGACGGAGCAACGCCGCGUGAGUGAUGAAGGUUUUCGGACUGUAAAGCUCUGUUGUUUAGGACGAAAGUGCCUGUUGCAAAUAGUUACAGGUAUUGACGGUACUGAACGAGGAAGCCACGGCUAACUACGUGCCAGCAGCCGCGGUAAUACGUAGGUGGCAAGCGUUGUCCGGAAUUAUUGGGCGUAAAGAGCAUGUAGGCGGGAAUCUAAGUCUGUUGUGAAAAUGCGGGGCUCAACCCCGUAUUGCGAUGGAAACUGGGUUUCUUGAGUGCAGGAGAGGAAAGGGGAAUUCCCAGUGUAGCGGUGAAAUGCGUAGAUAUUGGGAGGAACACCAGUGGCGAAGGCGCCUUUCUGGACUGUGUCUGACGCUGAGAUGCGAAAGCCAGGGUAGCGAACGGGAUUAGAUACCCUAGUAGUCC
rnacentral:rRNA from 1 species